CCCCUCUCAGGAUCAUACCUGGAGAGUGUCCAGUAGUCUACUAGUCUCGGCUACGGGAGGGAGAGUCAAGCAGAGGCCUACCCGUUCCACUCGUAGCUUGGCCAGUGGCUAGUGAGUGGAAGGCCGUCUGCUACAAGU